GGUAUUAAUGUCAAUGGGAUAAAACAGACGAAAAUAAGUUUACCUUAAUAAGUAUGGAUUAAGAAAGACUACCCCAUAAACAUAAGAAAGGACAGGCAAAAGUAUACAAAACAAUACAUAAACUAAAAAAUGUACAACACCUACACCCAACCAGAGGCGAGGGAUGAACUCUGGUAAUCCAGGAAGUUGAAGCCCAAACAAAUGACAGACAAAAGUCUACAAAACACUAAACUGAAAACUAAAAAAUGUACACCAUCAAGCCAACCAUUGAUGAGGGAUGAACUUGGGUGACCCAGGACAGAAGUACUACUAGGAUGUUUUUUUUUACUACCAGGAUAGGACAGAAGUGGGUAAGUAAUUGAUAUGUUAACAAAUUUACAAAUGGAC
rnacentral:lncRNA from 1 species